GCCCGCAAGGGUGAGUAAAGUGGCGUACGGGUGAGUAACACGUGGGUAAUCUACCUUUUGGUGGGGAAUAACCCUGGGAAACCGGGGCUAAUACCGCAUAAGCUCGUCACUAUAGAGGUGACGCGGAAAGGAGCAAUUCGCCGAAGGAGGAGCCCGCGGCUGAUUAGCUAGUUGGUAGGGUAAAGGCCUACCAAGGCUAUGAUCGGUAGCCGGCCUGAGAGGGCACACGGCCACACUGGCACUGAAACACGGACCAGACUCCUACGGGAGGCAGCAGUGGGGAAUCUUGCACAAUGGGGGAAACCCUGAUGCAGCGACGCCGCGUGAGUGAUGAAGCCCUUCGGGGUGUAAAGCUCUUUCGGCAGGGACGAUAAUGACAGUACCUGAAGAAGAAGCUGCGGCUAACUACGUGCCAGCAGCCGCGGUAAUACGUAGGCAGCGAGCGUUGUUCGGAGUUACUGGGCGUAAAGAGUGCGUAGGCGGUUUUCUAAGUUUGGUGUGAAAUCUCCCGGCUUAACUGGGAGGGUGCGCCGAAGACUGGAAGGCUAGAGUAUGGGAGAGGUAAGCGGAAUUCCUGGUGUAGCGGUGAAAUGCGUAGAUAUCAGGAGGAACACCUGCGGUGUAGACGGCUUACUGGACCAUAACUGACGCUGAGGCACGAAAGCGUGGGUAGCAAACAGGAUUAGAUACCCUGGUAGUCCACGCCCUAAACGAUGCAUACUUGGUGUGGGUAGUUCAUUCUAUCCGUGCCGGAGCUAACGCGUUAAGUAUGCCGCCUGGGGAGUACGGUCGCAAGGCU
rnacentral:rRNA from 1 species